rnacentral:rRNA from 1 species
ACGGAGGGUGCAAGCGUUAUCCGGAUUCACUGGGUUUAAAGGGUGCGUAGGCGGAAUGAUAAGUCAGUGGUGAAAGCCCCGAGCUCAACUUGGGAACUGCCAUUGAUACUGUUUUUCUUGAGUGUGGUUGAAGUGGGCGGAAUAUGACAUGUAGCGGUGAAAUGCUUAGAUAUGUCAUAGAACACCGAUUGCGAAGGCAGCUCACUAAACCAUUACUGACGCUGAGGCACGAAAGCGUGGGGAGCGAACAGG